UAACUACUCCCUCUGUCCCAAAUUUCUUGUCUUAGAUUUGUCUAGAUACGGAUGUAUCUAAUACUAAAAUGUGACUUGAUACAUCCGUAUCUAGACAAAUCUAAGACAAGAAUUUUGGGACGGAGGGAGUACUUU
rfam:Triticum aestivum genome assembly, contig: Triticum_aestivum_CS42_TGACv1_scaffold_148344_2BS